GCCCUUCAAUUCUUCACCCUUUACCCCUAUUUUAUGGGUGCCGGCUUGCUGGCUAUGGCGAUAAACGGCCCGUGCAAUAAACGGCUCGGACCCGGGGGCGGUACCCGGCGGCUCCACCAAAGCUCUUCCGCGCGAGGGUUUUGGCGGGGCCGAAAUAGGAUCGACGAACGUGUAAAGACGACGCUUUCGCCCGGUUGGCCUCCGCUAUUUGGCCAAAUUUGAAUAGUUGCCAAUGACAACUACUCGGAAGAGUUCGCUCUCGCUGCGUAAUGCGGCUGAGUGACUCGCUUAUAAAGUCCUAGCCUCUUUCCAAGGUUAGGCGGGGUUCGGGAGCACCUGGCAACAGAAGCUCCCACU
rnacentral:tmRNA from 1 species